rnacentral:rRNA from 1 species
CCUACGGGAGGCAGCAGUGGGGAAUAUUGGACAAUGGGGGGAACCCUGAUCCAGCGACGCCGCGUGAGUGAAGAAGUAUUUCGGUAUGUAAAGCUCUAUCAGCAGGGAAGAAAGAAAUGACGGUACCUGACUAAGAAGCCCCGGCUAACUACGUGCCAGCAGCCGCGGUAAUACGUAGGGGGCAAGCGUUAUCCGGAUUUACUGGGUGUAAAGGGAGCGUAGACGGCGAUGCAAGUCUGAAGUGAAAGGCGGGGGCGCAACCCCUGGACUGCUUUGGAAACUGUAUGGCUGGAGUGCAGGAGAGGUAAGUGGAAUUCCUAGUGUAGCGGUGAAAUGCGUAGAUAUUAGGAGGAACACCAGUGGCGAAGGCGGCUUACUGGACUGUAACUGACGUUGAGGCUCGAAAGCGUGGGGAGCAAACAGGAUUAGAUACCCCAGUAGUC